AAGAAAAGACUCUUUGCACUCCCUGCGUGAUUGGUCGUUUGUUGGCCUCAGUUCCUGCUCUGAAGUAUUUGAGUGUUUAAUUUUCACUAGCCUCAUAUUCGUAACCUCGGAGGAACUUUAUCAACCUCUUCUCCCUCUGCUGAAAUGCCACUGUAAUAUUGUCAGACUAAUUGACAGUAAUUCACCUCGCCACCCUUACUUAGGAGGCUAAUAGCAGAAAUGUCAUUCUGCAUUUAUAAGGGGCCUCCCAUCUAGAAGACCUUCAAAGAGCCUUGUAGCGCUUGUACUGAGGCAUAUACCUCUCUGUCUGACAAACAAUAUGCUUGCUGUCUUGAAUGUCAGAAUCAGUAUCAUAUGCUGAGCUGAGGCGGGAGCAAAUACAACAUUUCCUGAAGAAUUACUCCCUGGAUAUACUGGAAACAUCCUCUUUGAUUGAUAUUUAUUACAACCAUGCUGAACCUGCCAACAUACUUCAAAUUGGGUUAUAUAAUAGUAAAACUGUUUUCAGUGGCUUUUGAUUUAGUUGUAAUAUUUGCUCCAGAUUCCAUCAUCUUAAGGGCAAUUUUACCUUAAAUUAAAUGUCACCUAUAUUUAAAAUAAACAAUUUUGUAGGUUCCAGAUUUACAGUAUGGAAAUGUAGCUAAUUAAAUUAUGAGAUAGUGUUUGUGACACAGAAUUAUUGUAAGGAAUACAUGACCCUCCUUGUCCUCAGUUUAUUAAAAGGCUCAAACUAAAAUAU